UGAGGAAUUUUGCGCAAUGGGGGAAACCCUGACGCAGCGACGCCGCGUGGAGGAUGAAGGCCUUCGGGUCGUAAACUCCUGUCAGAGGUGAAGAAUACCCGCAAGGGUUUGACGGUAACCUCAGAGGAAGCCCCGGCUAACUACGUGCCAGCAGCCGCGGUAAUACGUAGGGGGCUAACGUUACUCGGAAUUACUGGGCGUAAAGGGUGCGUAGGCGGCUGGGAAAGUCAAGGAUGAAAUCCCGUGGCUCAACUGCGGAACGGUCCUUGAAACUACUCGGCUUGAGGAUAACCGAAGAGAACGGAAUUCCCGGUGGAGCGGUGAAAUGCGUAGAUAUCGGGAGGAACACCUGAGACGAAAGCGGUUCUCUAGACUACUCCUGACGCUGAGGCACGAAAGCUAGGGGAGCAAACGG
rnacentral:rRNA from 1 species